rnacentral:rRNA from 1 species
ACGAACGCUGGCGGCGUGCUUAACACAUGCAAGUCGAACGGAAAGGCCUCUUUCGGGGGGUACUCGAGUGGCGAACGGGUGAGUAACACGUGAGUAACCUGCCCUUGACUUUGGGAUAACUUCAGGAAACUGGGGCUAAUACCGGAUAGGAGCUCCUGCUGCAUGGUGGGGGUUGGAAAGUUUCGGCGGUUGGGGAUGGACUCGCGGCUUAUCAGCUUGUUGGUGGGGUAGUGGCUUACCAAGGCUUUGACGGGUAGCCGGCCUGAGAGGGUGACCGGCCACAUUGGGACUGAGAUACGGCCCAGACUCCUACGGGAGGCAGCAGUGGGGAAUAUUGCACAAUGGGUGGAAGCCUGAUGCAGCAACGCCGUGGGCGGGAGGACGGCCUUCGGGUUGUAAACCGCUUUCGCUCAUGACGAAGCUUUGUGUGACGGUAGUGGGUAAAGAAGCACCGGCUAACUACGUG